AGAAAAAAACACCGUCAGAAAUUAGAAAUUGGAGACGUCUUUAUUGGAUAUCACAAAGACGCAUGUUCAGCAAUUAUCAUGCAUGUGUGUGAAACGAAGUUACUGUAUAAACACCGCGACAUUCGGUCGUUUAAAAAAGAGAUUCUUGAAGAAGCAAAACAGAUCCUGCUUUGGUGUGCCACACCUGAAGCAAUUUUUCGGGAAAACCAGCUGGACAGGUCAGAACAAGCAACAAUAAAAAUGAACUACACGACAAAACAAGCGCAUUCUAGUUUCAUUGACUAUUUGAAGUACAUGCUUGCAGACAAACAGUUUCCUCAUUUGUUCGCACAGAUAACUUGUCAUUCUAAACUUAUGGAUGCAAUUUAUGGAAAAGAAAUCGUCAAGGCUAUCAAAUCGCUUCAGUUGUUUGAUAUGAUAUCGUUAUCUUCGUUCGAUACGGAACAACAAUUCAGCAAUCGUGUGCAG